GCCAGCAUGGUGUCAUGGUUUGGGUGCUGGACUAAAACUCUAAGAGACCAGGGUUCGAAUCCCUGCUCAGCCA